UAUGACUCUCGGCAACGGAUAUCUCGGCUCUCGCAUCGAUGAAGAGCGCAGCGAAAUGCGAUACGUGGUGCGAAUUGCAGAAUCCCGUGAACCAUCAAGUCUUUGAACGCAAGUUGCGCCCGAGGCCAAUCGGCUAAGGGCACGUCUGCCUGGGCGUCAAGC
rnacentral:rRNA from 4 species